rnacentral:tRNA from 1 species
GGUGAUGUAGUAGAGUGGUGUUGGUUCUGUGUUGGUAACCAGGAGGUCUAGGGAUCGAAUCCCUUCCCUAUCC